AACGCACAUUGCGCCCUUUGGCAUUCCGAAGGGCAUGCCCGUUCGAGCGUCAUUAAACCCAAUCAAGCCUGGCUUGGUCUUGGGCGACAUGGGGAAACCCCUGCGCCUUGAUUUCACCGGCUGGCCGCCGCCCGUCUUAGCGUUGCAACACUUAGAUCGCUAAGAUGCGUGUGUAGAAGUCAUGCUGUAAGGAUCUCUACGGGAGGAGACAUCAGAAUUUCGAUCGAAAUUCGAACAAGGUUGACCUCGGAUCGGGUAGGAAUACCCGCUGAACUUAA
rnacentral:misc_RNA from 1 species